CCCAUAUGGUCGACCUGCAGGCGGCCGCGAAUUCACUAGUGAUUCGUAUUACCGCGGCUGCUGGCACGGAGUUAGCCGGAGCUUAUUCUCCCGGUACUGUCAUUAUCAUCCCGGGUAAAAGAGCUUUACAACCCUAAGGCCUUCAUCACUCACGCGGCAUUGCUGGAUCAGGCUUUCGCCCAUUGUCCAAUAUUCCCCACUGCUGCCUCCCGUAGGAGUCUGGGCCGUGUCUCAGUCCCAGUGUGGCUGAUCAUUCUCUCAAACCAGCUACAGAUCAUUGGCUUGGUAGGCCAUUACCCUACCAACUACCUAAUCUGGCGCGGGCUCAUCCAUCAGCGAUAAAUCUUUCCUCCAAAGAGAAUAUACGGUAUUAGCAAUUAUUUCUAAAUGUUAUUCCGUACUGAUGGGCAGAUUCCCACGUGUUACUCACCCGUCUGCCACUAAUUUAUUUAAAGCAAGCUCUAAAUAAAUCCGUUCGACUUGCAUGUGUUAAGCAUACCGAAAGCGUUCGUUCUGAGCCAUGAUCAAACUCUAAUCGAAUUCCCGCGGCCGCCAUGGCGGCCGGGAGCAUGCGAC
rnacentral:rRNA from 1 species